rnacentral:rRNA from 1 species
AGUGAACGCUGGCGGUAGGCCUAACACAUGCAAGUCGAACGGCAGCACAGUAAGAGCUUGCUCUUACGGGUGGCGAGUGGCGGACGGGUGAGGAAUACAUCGGAAUCUACUUUUUCGUGGGGGAUAACGUAGGGAAACUUACGCUAAUACCGCAUACGACCUACGGGUGAAAGCAGGGGAUCUUCGGACCUUGCGCGAUUGAAUGAGCCGAUGUCGGAUUAGCUAGUUGGCGGGGUAAAGGCCCACCAAGGCGACGAUCCGUAGCUGGUCUGAGAGGAUGAUCAGCCACACUGGAAAUGAGACACGGCCCAGACUCCUACGGGAGGCAGCAGUGGGGAAUAUUGGACAAUGGGCGCAAGCCUGAUCCAGCCAUACCGCGUGGGUGAAGAAGGCCUUCGGGUUGUAAAGCCCUUUUGUUGGGAAAGAAAAGCAGCAGGUUAAUACCCCGCUGUUCUGACGGUACCCAAAGAAUAAGCACCGGCUAACUUCGUG